AAUCAGUAAUACACUUGGCACUUUCUAGGUCACAAUAUCACUUAGCAGUUAGCACUUUCUAGUUUCUUAGUUUCUUUAGCAAUUAGCAGCCCUAGAAGUUAGCAAUAGCGACAAACGACGGACACCAGACAGUGAGCAACCCACCGAAGCGACGAACAAUGGAUAGUCAACGACUCAACGGCGAAUCAAGCUCUUGGGUCAAGGAAGGCUAGGUUUCAUCAACAGUAUCAAAUUAGGACUUACAAGGGUGGUUUUCUUCAUCUUUUAUCUCAAUAUAAGGCAAGAUACUCCUCCCUCAUUGUUAUUUCCAAUUAAGACAUGUUUUAUGAAUUGAUUUCAUGGCAUAAUUGUUAUAUGGUUUUGAAAUUUUUAAAUAUAUGUUGGGGGUUUUGGUUAUAAUGGUUGGUAAUGAUUUUCCCAUGAUUUUCAUUUAUGGUUUGCAUAUUAUAAUGAUGGUUUGAACACUUGGUUGCAUGAAAAUGGUUAAUUGGUACUUGGUUUUGAUUUUGGAAACACUAUGCCCUCAACAUGCUUGAUAAAAUGCCUAUGAGAAUAUUUUUUACUAUAUUGUUGGACUUUUAAUGAAACUAUUUCAUGGUAUAACUUGGUAAUGAAAUUGUAAAUAAUAUAAAUGAUUUGAAAUGGUUAAAUGAUAAGGUCUUGGUGGUCAUGAUUGUGGUUAAUUGAACAUCCUUGUAGGGUACAAGGGAAUCUCCCAAGCAAAACUUAAUUAUGAUAUACUUGCGGGGUACAUGAAAAUCCCCCAAGUAAACUAAAUAAUGAAACCUGUGGGGUACAUGAGAAUCCCCUAAGGUUUGGAUAAGGACAUUGCUUGAAAGCUAUAGUUGGUAUGACGAUACCACUACUUAGAGCCUUGGUUAAUAAUAAAUGAAUGGUGGUUUGGUUAUGUGGAAAUGAUUUUAAUUGGACAAUAAUGGCGGGGUGUGAUAGCUAACCAUGAAGGUGUGAGUCCAAUGGACGGACACUGGAAACAUAUGUUUACCGACAUGAGGAUCGGUCAUGAUGACCAUAUGGGGUACAUGGGAAUCCCCUAUGUCACACUUGUAUAUAUGUAUCAUGGAGAGCGAAGGGUGCCCCCAAGCAAAACUUAAUAAUGAUAUACUUGCGGGGUACAUGAAAUCUCCCAAGUAAACUAAAUAAUGAAAACUGUGGGGUACAUGAUUAUCCCCUAAGGUUUGUCUAAGGACAUUGCUUGCAAGCUAUAGUCGGUAUGACGAUACCACUACUUAUAGUCUUGGUUAAUAAUAAGUGAAUGGUGGUUUGGUUAUGUGGAAAUGGUUUUAAUUGGACAAUAAUGGCGGGGUGUGAUAGCUACCAUAAAGGUGUGAGUCCAAUGGACGGACACUGAAAACACAUGUUUGUCGACAUAAGGAUCGGUCAUAAUGACCAUAUGGGGUACAUGGGAAUCCCCUAUGUCAAACUUGUAUAUAUGUAUCAUAGAGAGCGAAGGGUGCUUGGGAACCCCCUACUCCUAUGGUAUCUCUGAUUCGUGCGGCUACAUACAUCAGGGCCCAUUCAGUGAGUUACAUUGGACCCAUAUAGCCCGUGGGUGGUUCUAGGAUGGUUAAGCUACAUAUGCCCAAGUUAAUGGUUUUAAUGCAUGCUAACCCCGAUUCCCUUUCCCGGCAUGGUUUAUAUAUAUGUACGGAUUUAUAUGCAUAUGGUUGGUUUACUUGAUUUUAAAGGUUGUCAUUAUUUUAUCCUUAUCCUGAGUACUUGAUAGCGUUCACCGGAUAACCCGUCUUCAGGCGGCUGUAUUCCUAAGUGAUGCAGGAACAGAUCAUUCUACUCUUCCUGCUUAGUGAUCGGAUUUGGGAUCAGCUAUUGGAUUGAAGUGGUCAUUGAUGGCGGAGCAAGAAGCAGUGGUACCAGCACAGAUAAACAGGAAGCAAAACUCAUUGGUGGAUUGCUUAGCGAAGGAGGGAUCCAAGGAGUACCAACCAUGGCCUACUUUAUUACAUUUUGCACCUAUUUUUGCGGCCAAAGUUGUAAAUGAUGACUAUACUGGCAAAUCCUUCACUCGUUUUGUUAAACGUUUAAACUUUAGCCCACAAGGUCGGGAUGUGGCCUUGAACAACUGUAUGCCUCCCACACCUGAUGGGAGCUCCAACCCCCCCGACCCUUCGUAAUGAUGAAUGAAUGAAAUCACCUCUUCUUUACCAAAAAGAAAAAACAAAGACCAAA